rnacentral:lncRNA from 1 species
GAAAUCUGGCUCUCGAAGUUUGGAGAGCGGUGCCUCUUCGGUUUUCGAACAAGCAAUCAUGUCGGGGAUCUGGCUAUCGAGAUUCAAAGAAUGGUGCCUCUUCGAUUUUUGAGAAAGCAAUCAUGUUGGGAGUCUGACUCUUGAGAUUAUGAGAGCAGUGUCUCUUCGAUUUUUGAGAAAGUAAUCCUGUUGGGAGUCUGGCUCUCGAGAUUUGGAGGGCGAUGCCUCUUCGAUUUUUGAGUACGCAAUCUUAUUAGGAGUAUUUUCUCGAAUAUGAGUAAAGGUUGGGCAUUUUUGCUAGUUUGCCUUGCCACGGAGCACCGAGGUUGACACACAUUAAGACUUUCUAGUUAUCAAGCAGUGGUGCUGUUCCUUUACCCUUAUGGGGAAUAGUAGGGUAGCUGGACCUUCAAAAUUUAUGUGUCUAAACUUUGUCAGAGAUCUUUGGCAAAGUUAUCUGUGGUACCCGAUGAGCUGAUGUUGCGUGUGGAAAGUGGUGCCUCUUCGAAAUCCGGAGAGUGGUGCCUCUUCGAUUUUUGAACCAACGGCCUUGUUGCCCUUUCUUUUAUAAGGGCACCAAUUUUGUGUAAGAAGUACAUUCAGAGAGUUAUUGCUUAUAGGAAUUUUCCCCUUACUUUAGAGAUUUAUUGCACCUCAUUUCUCCUUCAUCAUUUCUGAGAAUGUCUGGCCCAUCCGAUCGUCGUUUUGACUUGAACUUUGGUGAAGAGGCAGCCAUGCCUUCUCAAGACAACAUAUGACGUUCAUCCUUCUUAUCCCCUGCUGGUCCUUUUACCGUUGGGGACUCUGUAAUGAAGAAUGAUAUGACCGCUGCGGUGGUGGCCAUGAACCUUCUCACUCCCAAAGAUAACAGACUACUUUUCAAACGAUCUGAUGAAUUGGCUGUUAAGGAUUCUCUGACUCUCAAUGUUCAGUGUGCAGGUUCUGUGUCUAAUAUGGCCCAACACCUAUUUGCUCGAACCCGCCAAGUUGAAUCAUUGGCGGCUGAAGUGAUAAGUCUCAAACAGGAGAUCAGAGGGCUCAAGCAUGAGAAUAAACAGUUGCACAAGCUCGCACAUGACUAUGCUACAAACAUGAAGAGGAAGCUCGACCAGCUGCAGAAAUCUGAUGGUCAGAUUUUACUUGAUCAUCAGAGGUUUGUGAGUUUGUUCCAAAGACAUUUAUUGCCUUCGUCUUCUGGGGCUGUACCACAUAAUAAAGCUCUAAAUGAUCAACCUUCGGUGCCUCCUUAUUCUGGGGUUCUGCCUAGUACUGAGGCUCCAAAUAAUCACCCUCUGGUGCCUCAUCUUUCUGGGGCUCUGCCGACUGCUAAGACUUCUCCUGAGCAACCUUUGUGAAUGCUCCCUUUUGUUUGUUUAUUUUGAUUCAUGUAUAUGUACAUAUUUUUAACUUAUCGGAUAUAUCAAUAAACAAGCUUUGCUUCAUUUCAACGUAUUGUGUUAAAUACACCAAGGCCUUCUUCACUAAGUUUUUUGAAUUUUUCCUUUUGUUGAAUCUUGUAUGUUAAAGCUUUAUGAGUGAAGCAUGUAGGUUGAGGUAGUGCUUCCUUAAUUUCCCGAGUGAGGAAAACUUCUCGGUUUGAGACUUGAAAAAAUCCAAGUCACUGAGUGGUCGUGAGACUUCCGAGUAUCAAGGUGCAGUAGCAUAUGGUAGGAGUCCCCCAAGUCUCCGGUUGAGGGAGUUGACGAAAGAGGUGUCUUGCUAGUAGCCAAGUUUCCAAAGUAACAAAACUUCACCAUUUUCCUUUCUAAGUGGUAGCCCAAAACUCCUCCUUCAUAUAUAUUUGUUAUGAAAGUUGUUAGGCCCAAAGAAAAGAAUGCCUAGACAAUUUUUUUUUUUCAAUUUUCGAAUUUUCGAAUUUUUGAAUUAAAAUUUCCGAAUAUAUAUAUAUAUAUAUAUUUUAAGCUUUAUAGGUGAAGCUUUGUAGGUUGAAGCUUUGUUGGGUACCAUGAAUUGAUUUUGCUUCACACUAUCUUGAUCAAGAUAGUGUGAAGUUUUUGUAGGUGAAGCUUUUGUGUUGAAGCUUUGUAGGUGAAGCUUUUGUAGGUCAAGCUUUUGCGGGUGAAGCUUUUGUGGUGGGUGAAGCUUUUGUUGGUGAAGUUUUUGUGGUGGGGGAAGCUUUUGUGGUGGAUGAAGCUCUUGUGGGUAAAGCUUUUGUGGGUAAAGCUUUUAUGGGUGAAGCUUUUGUAGGUGAAGCUUUUGUGGUUGGUGAAGUUUUUGUGGGUGAAGCUUUUGUGGUGGGUGAAGCUUUUGUUGGUGAAACUUUUAUGGGUGAAGCUUUUGUAGGUGAAGUUUUUAUGGUGGGUGAAACUUUUAUGGGUGAAGCUUUUAUGGGCGAAGCUUUUGUGGGUGAAACUUUUGUAGGUGAAACUUUGGAGUUGAAGCUUUGUAGGUGAAGCUUUGGAGUUGAAACUUUGUAGGUGAAGCUUUGGAGUUGAAUCUUUUGUUGGGUACCAUGAAUUGAUUUUGCUUCACACUAUCUUGAUCAAGAUAGUGUGAAGCUUUUGAGAAUUUGUAGUUGUCCUCUAUUGAUGAAGCUUUUGUUGGUGAAGCUUUGUUGGGUACCACGAAUUGAUUUUGCUUCACACUAUCUUGAUCAAGAUAGUGUGAAGCUUUUGAGAAUUUGUAGUUGUCCUCCAUUGAUGAAGCUUUGUUGAAUUUCCUUUUUUUUUUUUUGGGAAACUAGAAAUUUGAAAAUGUGGGAGAUACAACAUAUACAAAUUUUGCUUCCACAUUGUUGAGCAAGAGAUUGUUAUGCAAGCCACACCUUAUAGUAGUCGAAGGUUUGGAUGAACCAUAUAAAUUGAAUUUGCUUCGAACAGUCUUGGAUUUGCUUCGAAGGUUUGAGAAUUGUAGUUGCCCUCCAUUGAUGAAGCUUUAGUUGGCACCAUAAAUUGGUUUUGCUUCGCACUGUCUUGAUCAAGAGUGUGUGAAGCUUUUGAGAAUUGUGGUUGCCCUCCAUUGAUAAAGCUCUUAUUGGCAUCAUAAAUUGGUUUUGCUUCACACUAUCUUGAUCAAGAGUGUGUGAAGCUUUUGAGAAUUGUGGUUAAACUUCUUUGAUGAAGCUUUUGUUAGCACUAUAAAUUGGUUUUGCUUCACACUAUCUUGAUCAAGAGUGUGUGAAGCUUUUGAGAAUUGUGGUUGCCCUUCAUUGAUGAAGCUCUUGUUGGCACUAUAAAUUGGUUUUGCUUCACACUGUCUUGAUCAAGAGUGUGUGAAGCUUUUGAGAAUAGUGGUUGAACUCCUUUGAUGAAGCUUUUGUUGGCACCAUAAAUUGGUUUUGUUUCACAAUGUCUUGAUCAAGAGUGGUGAAGCUUUUAAGAAUUGUGGUUGCCCUCCAUUGAUGAAGCUCUUGUUGGCACCAUAAUUUGGUUUUGCUUCACACUGUCUUGAUCAAGAGUGUGUAAAGCUUUUGAGAAUUAUGGUUGCCCUUCAUUGAUGAAGCUCUUGUUGGCACUAUAAAUUGGUUUUGCUUCAUACUGUAUUGAUCAAGAGUGUGUGAAGCUUUUGAGAAUUAUGGUUGAACUCCUUUGAUGAAGCUCUUGUUGGCACCAUAAAUUGGUUUUGCUUCACACUGUCUUAAUCAAGAGUGUGAAGCUUUCUACAAGUUGUAGUGUUUGCAUUGUUACAGAGGGGAAAUGUCUGAAUCAGAUGUAAAAGGGCUAAAUAGCUUGAUCUUCGUAUGCCAUACAUUGAAGUUGUUGUUGACUUGCAAUAAGACUUUGUUGGUGACUAUAACUCUUGUUGGGCAUAAGUGUUCCCCUAGUUGAGUUGUUAAGCUUGAUGGUUUUUUAUUAUUUGUGAAUGCUAGGAGUUCACAUGUACAAGUUGUACCACUCGUCUUUUGGUAGGUGGAAUGAAUAGUGAGUUGCUUUCAUCACUUGGUUGGUGGUACGAAUGUGAGUUCCUUCAUCGCAUUUCAUCACAUUUCAUCACCUGGUUGGUGGCACGAGGAUGAGUUCUUUCUUCACCUGGUUGGUGGCAUGAAUGGCAAGUUCCCAAAUGAUAUUAGAAUGCGGGUUGUACAUUUGAUCACCUGGUUGGUGGCAUGAAUGAGAGUACGGGUUGUACAUUUCAUCACCUGGUUGGUGGCAUGAAGAUGAGUUCAUUCUUCACCUGGUUGGUGGCAUGAGUGGCAAGUUGCCAAAUGAUAUUAGAAUAUUGGUUGUACAUUUCAUCACCUGGUUGGUGGCAUGAAGGAGAGUACGGGUUGUACAUUUCAUCACCUGGUUUGUGGCAUGAAGAUGAGUUCAUUCUUCACCUGGUUGGUGGCAUAAGUGGCAAGUUGCCAAAUGAUAUUAGAGUACAGGUUGUACAUUUCAUCACCUGGUUAGUGGCAUGAGGGAGAGUACGGGUUGUACAUUUCAUCACCUGGUUGGUGAGAAUAAAGGCAAGGUGUCGAGGUACAUUGUAGCAAGUGUCGAAGACACAAAGUAUGUUGAACCCUUUCGAAGCACAGUUGGCUUAUGUAUGAAUGUGUUGGAAUGUAUGAUUUUUAUGUAUGAAUGUGUUGGAAUGUAUAAUGUUUAUGUUUAUUGAUAUGAGUGAUGCUUAUGAAUAUUUUGCUAUGCAUGAAGGGAUCCAUGCUUUUGAUAUGUGAUCCAUGUUGGUUAUAACACUUAGUAUCACAUACUUUAUGUCAAAGUAUGCAUGUUGAAGCUCUGAGUUGGAGUAUAAGGGUAGGUUAGCGUAGAUCAAGUGUUCCAGUGCUAGGAACGCAAAAGACUCAGAAGAAGUUGUCUGAAUUCCCUCUUCUUUAAAUAUUUGUCGAAUGACUUGUGUGACAAAAGAUCUCAAGCAGUUGAGAGUCAAAACAUUUGUAAUGUGUAUGCCUUCUUAUAAUAGCAUUUCCUUCAGUACCUAGUCCUCCACUUUGAAAGAGUGAGGCUUGGCCCCAUAGUCAUAAUAGUCGACGGUACGUUCACCCCUGGUUGUCUUGAUACGAACUUUUAUCCCUCUUGUUGUAAUGGGCUUGCUGAGAGUAAAAAUCCUUCCUUUUACCAAGAAAAAGAUACGUUUGGUGACUUAGUGAGUAGCUAAAUGAGGCAGGAGAUGAUGCAAUGGGUGUCUGAAUGCCCAAUAUCUCCUCACUUGGUAGAACUUGACUUCCACUUCCUAUUUGUUGAUAGGGGUUAACCAUAUGGGGGUUCCCUUGGUAUGUCUUUGCUUCGGCGGAGGCGUGGUUAUAAGCCUGUGCCAUCACCUCAGAGUAAGUCUUCCAAGUGUUGGCAUUGAUCAUGUACUUGAAGAAACAAUCAUGUAGGCCUGCUGUGAAGGCCUUGAGGGCGGUCUUGUCAUCUGCCUCAAUGCAGUGAGAAUACUUAUGGCUGAAGCGACCGGCAUACUCUUGUAGUGACUCGUCCGGCUUUUAGUGAAUAAUGUACAAGUCAUCUGCAUAAUGCAAGUGAUCGGUCUGGAAGAUGUGUUAAGAGACAAACAGUUUCGUCAAUUCCUCAAAUGAGUCUACUAUCUCAGGUGGAAGACGGCAAUACCAGUUUAGAGUUCCGCCAGAGAGGGUGGAGGGGAAGAGAAUACAUCGCUCUUCGUUGGUGUGCAUCCAAUAUGCCAUGGUGGACUCAAAGAUGUUAAGGUGUUCAAUUGGGUCCUUCAUUCCAGUAUAGAGUUGUAAACCAAGCUUUUGUUUUGUCUUCACUUGAAGGGGGUGUUGAGGAUCCUUCUUGUGAGAGGGCCAGGCCUGGGUUGGUUCCAGUCAGGUAUCUCGGCCUGACGUUCGACUUUCAACUUGUUUACUUCCUCAAUAAGCUGUAGGACAAGGGGGUCAUGAAUGGAGUUAUAUACCACUAGAAUUUUCUUUCGUAAGUCUCCAUCGCCUCUUGGAAGUAGGAAAGUUUGAGCAUGCGCGUGUGGUUUUUUCUUGGACUCGCCGUACUGACUUCUAGGUCUAGUCUGUCGGAAUACCUCAAAGUCCCACGUACCUUCAUAUUCCUCUGGGACCUGUUAUUCCUUCCCUAGAUUGGCAGCUGGCCUGGGUCCUGGGAGGGGACCAAGUCUUUCAGAAACCCUUGGGUCAUUGAUAUUCGAGCAUAUGUGGAGGGGAUUAUCUCGACGUUGCUUUAGGAAGUCUGGCAGUCACGAUAAACGGCUUUCGAUCAUUCCAACCCUUCUGUAAUGAGGUGUCUUCUUCCACUUUUUCUACUUCGGGUCGAAGCAUCUGGGUUGAGAGAAGUCUCAUGCUGAUCAAUGCUUUGAUGAUUAGCUCGCUUCUCAUCAAGGAUACCCAUGUCGAAGGAAGGUGACCUUCCGUGUUAGGGGGCACCCAGAUGAUGAUUGAUGUUCACAUGGGCAACGAGCUCGCGUGUUUGAGUACGCCUAGUUUCGUGGAGCGUCUCAAAGAGCUUCUCAUACUGCUCCUGGAGGACCUCAUUCUUCAUUGUUAUCUUAUUAUUCUGAACUUCUAGCUUAUCGACUUUAGCUUGAAGAGUAACCCUUUUUCCUUCCUUCUUUGGUUACUUCGCAUUAGGUGCAAGAGGGGUGUCAUUCUGUGUGUUGUAACUUCCUUCGCUCCCUAUGUUGGAAAGGGAUGCCUGGUCAAAAGAAAGUGUACGAAUGGUGGAAACCAGCUUGGCAAAGCUGAAGAGAGUGGGAAUAAUUGUCGUUCCCACAGACGGUGCCAAAUGUUGAUGCACAAAAUCAACGAGGACUUUGGUACAACAGAAAGUGUUAAGUUUAUGACCUUCGCUAGAUUGCUCCGGUCACUAGUGUGGAUAAGUAAGUAAACGGAUAGGGACAGGGAAGCAAACACAAGAUGUACGUGGUUCACCUAGAUUGGCUACGUCCACGGAGUAAAGGAGUUCUCAUUAAUUGUGAAGGGUUUACACGAGUACAUAGGUUCAAGCUCUCUUUUAGUGAGUACUAGUGAAUGAUUUAGUACAAAUGACAUUAGGAAAUAUUGUGAGAGAAUGAUCUCUAUUUAUAGAAGAGAGUUUCUAGUUUCAUUCUGACAUUGACACAUGUCGUGUUGUGAUUGGCUUCUGAUGUUGACACGUAUCGCGCUAUGAUUGGCUUUUGAUGUCCACACGUGUCACGCUGUGAUUGGCCUCCUGGUUUGAGGGAAACUCUUCUGAGUCCUUGACGGUAUAACGUUGACCGGUGCUCAGUAGUUUCGGGAUUGGUCAAGUAUGGUACAAACAUACCUUUACUUGGAGUCCAAGUUAUAACUUAUAACUAAACCCUAAUCACACUUACAUUCCACAUCAAUCCUUAUUAACUAUAUUGACCUAUUAACCGUUGGAUUAGAGUUUAAUGUCCAACAGCGUGCGGGCACCUACCCUUCUCCGAAUGGGUGAGAACCAUUACUCCCAGAAACCCCUCGUCUGUCCACCCCCCUCCACCAAAUUUAUUGAUAAUAAAUGAAAAUAAACGAAAAAUAUACAAGCGGCAGGACUAUGCCAAGACCCACAACGACAAAAACGAUUAUAAGGACAAAAUGAAAUGUCACGAACAUGAGUAAAGACUACAAAAUCUGGAAUCGUAGACCAACUGUAAUAAGAAUAACUAUUUGCCUCAAAUGAAGCUAAACCUGAUUUCCUUCUCAAAUGUAUUUUUUUUUCAACAAAACAAAUCGCAUUUGAUGAAAUCUCCAACGGCAAUUUUUUCAAUCCAUCAUAAGAAACUACAAGACUGCAUUAGGAGCCUCAAAAGGAUAGAAAAUAACUAAUAUUUGUCUAUUUUAAUCCAUAAAUGUUUCUAAUUUCUAACCCAAGCUAUAUGCAUGGCCUCAACGAAAGCAAGAAUAUUUUUGCAACAAUUGAACAAACAAAUUUUGUUUGAUGCAAAAGCACCAAGCCCAUCUUCCGAUGAGCGAAAAAUCACCACAAAUCCUGACAACGAAAUAUUGUGAUAUGAAAAUAGAUGAGGUUCAAAAGUUUGUCAAGUUGUAUGACCACAUCAGGGGGUUUGUGACUGUGAUAACGUAGGGAUCCUUGUAGAAACAUAAAUCUUCUCAUUUAAAUAUAUAUAUAUAUAUAUAUUUUUUUUUUUAUGUGUUACAACAUUUUAAUAUGUUUGGAGAACCAAAUUUAUAAUAUGCACAGGUAUUUAAUUAUGUGAGUUUAUGAGUUGGUGGGAAGGAGAAGAGAUAGAAUACACAUAUGUGGCAUAUCUUAGUUCCGUAGGCCCGUCAAGUGAUGCAUAUGGUCCUUGUACAAACAUAUAUGUAUAUAUAUGCAGACCUUGGGGCUAGGGCAGCUAAGCACAUUUCUGAAGCACAUUGCUUUCAAACAAGAGCUCAGCAAUAGUGUGAAAUUUAUCAUGGAUAAGAACUUGAUGCUGAUAGUGGGUACGUAGCCUUGCUGUAUGUUAUUCAUUAAUAUAUAUAUAUACACACACAUAUAUAUGUGUGUAUAUGUAUGACUUUCUUUUGACUUCUUCUUCUCUUCUUCUUGUAUGUCAUUCAUUAAUACACACACACACACACAUAUAUAUAUAUAUAUAUAUGUUUAUAUGUAUGACUUUCUUUUGACUUCUUAUAUAUAUGUGUUUAUAUGUAUGACUUCUUUUGACUUCUUCUUCUGUUUUUCUUGUAUGUCAUUCAUUAAUAUAUACACAUAUAUAUGUGUGUAUAUGUAUGACUUUCUUUUGAAGUUGGGUGAAAUAUGAUAAGGCCGUAGAGUUUGGUAUUGGGUAAUAUCAUUGAACUGUGGGGACUGCUGCUAUGCCACUGAAGUUGGUGCAUGGCAAAUAGCAAACAUCUCCAUUAGGAAAACUGGUGUUUUCUUUUUUGGAAAAAUAUGAGGUAUAUUGAUUAAUUCCCUAUCUAUUAGGCCAGGUUUCUAGUAUGAAUAGGAUUAUGAUUACUUUAUUUUUUAUUUUUAGGAGGACAACAAGUGGCAAGCCACGGUUAUCCAUCUCUUUCGAGGACUGGAAAAACUCACAGAGUCAUUUCAGCCUUUUAGAUUGCUUUCCUGUUCGUUUGAAGAUUAGGUCUUAAAAAAUACAGCUCCAUAUGAAUUAAGUCUUGAUAAUAUUUAGUUUUUUUUUUUGUUGUGAUGUAGUCUUCUUGACAAGUUUUAGCAUUUUUUCUUCGUGUAUGUAUAUUCAAAUUUAUGUAAUCAAUUUCUAUUCUUUCCAUCUUGAAUUAAUUUGCUAAUAAUUCAUACACAAUACAUUGAAUCAUCUAAGUAAAUGAAGCUAAUUCGAGUAGCGAGGGAGAGCAAGUGACCCUUUAUCACGGUGGUGGAAAGAUGUUGAGUCAUUGCAUGGCGACGUGAGUUCGAACUCCGCUGGUUGCUAAUUUAAAUUCUAAUUUAAUAAAAUCUACCGUUUGACAACAAAAAAAAAAAUUAGUGAGCGAGAAAAAAAAUUGAGUUAAAACAUGAAUGUGAUCUCGACUCAGAAAAAAUCAAAAUGUUCAAAUUAGCUUCCUCCGCCAAAUUAAAUUCAUAUUUACAUAAAUAACUAUACGGUUGUGUCGUAUGUUUAUACGCAUACAAUAAUGCAUAUUUACGAUUGGCUGGUUACUUCAUUUUCUAGGGUGUACGUGCUUUGGCUUGAUAUGCAUGUCCCAAUCCUGAACGAUGCUUCUAAAAUUUUCUAAGCCACUACGGUGUCUGGAAACUUAAAAUUUUGUUUUGAAAAGUGCCUUAUUAUUUGAUAAGGAGCAAACAACCAUAUGUGCUUAAUUAAGAGGCUUGAUGAUAUCGUGCUGGCUGCCUAUAAAAUUCUCCUAAUCACACCGGCAUCAAAAUAUUUAUAUAUCUCAGUAUUCAAUCUACAUGCAAUAUCUUUUGUUCAAACAUAACCUAAAAUCUAAGGAGAAGGAAAGCACUGCAAGAGUUUUUUUUUCAUGGGUAUCGCAGCCAUACUGUCAUAUAUAUAUAUAUAUAUAUAAUUUUUUUUUUAAAUAAAUCUUUUGUGUUAUAAUAUGGUGAGAAAGACGAGUUUAUAGUGAUUGAAAGACGAGUUUAUACGUUGUAGUAUAGUAUUAUUGUUACUUAAGGCUCGUUUGAUAACUAUUUUAGAAUUUUCAUAAAAAUGAAAAUUGAAAACUAAAAUAAAGCUAUUUUGAAUACUGAAAGAAGUAGCUUUCAGUUUUUUAUUUUUCACUUUUCAAUUUUUUUUUAACUGAAACCAAAAUAGUUAUUAAACGGCCCAUAAAUAAAACAUGUAUUAUAACAUGCAUGAAUAUAAGUACUAUCACGUGACAACGUUAUACUCACAUCGAGGCCGAGAUGCCCUUGCCCUUCCUAAAAUAGGUGGAGAUUGUGUUACUCUUCAUAUUACCAAUUAAUUUUAUGAUGAAAUCUCACAUUUUUUCAUUAACAUUCAUAUUUACAAACUAGCAUGCUAAGCCAUCAAAUUAACUUUAUCCUUUUUUAAAAGAAUCGAAUUAACCUUUUUCUAUUAUUAUCAUGGCACUUAAACUUAAACUACUCAAAUCAAGUACGAUGUAUAGAAAACUAAAACUAGUUUUUUUUUUUUUUUUUUUUUUUAAGACGGAAAUGCGAAGAACUUAGUUAAAAAGGCAAAGGCAUGCAGAAAGCUAUGCCUAUAUAGAAUUAAUCUUUGCAUGAACUAAAUAAGGGAACCGGAUCCCCUCCUGAGCAUAGGGUGGGGAUCCUUCUGACUAGGCUAUCUGGGUCAUUGAAAUUUGAUACAACGAUUAUAAAUAAAGAAUCUUCUAAAAAUUAUAAUUAUUGUAACCGUUAGAUCAAAUUUCAAUAAUCCAAAUGAUCCGAUCAGAAGGAUCCCCACCCUAUGCUCAGGAGAAUAUCCGGUUCCCUAAAUAAGAAUGAUAAUACCAGCCGAAAGUAUAAAGUGAGCAGAAUAGUGGGUUACAAAUAAGUAAUAACACAGAGGGUAUAUAGUAAUAGCUAAUAAAGCGUUAACGCGGGAUCGUCUUCACUCGAGAGUGUAUGCCGUUUGAGAGGAAGAGCACAUAGAUGGCGUAGGCUAUAAUAAUCUAAAUUCAUGCGUCAAAGAGUAUUAGUAUACACCAGAUAUUCGGUGUCAUCUAUCCACAAUUCACACACACUCAGAAUUAUUAUCGGGUAAAAUCUGAUUAUUUCAGAGAUCACAAACUAAUAGUUUGUAAUAAAUCAUAUAUUUUCAUGUGAUCUUACAUUAUUUCCAACUUUCCAUCCCUCAUUCACUGGAGCCGACUGAAUAGACUCCGAUCACUAACAUCUCUUAGCUAAGAAAGCUAGGCAAUAAGAAAAUCUGUAGACCAUAACACCAUAUAUAUACAUCGCGGGACUCCUGCUGCCCUCCCCUUGAGAGAGUAGAGGUCGAACGAACCGCCUAAAGAGGUAUAGAGAUCUGAAUGCGGGCUACCUUGAAAACGAAAGUGUGAAGCCCCAACGAAAAGGCAAAUUCACCAGCCUAUACUUAAUAUGAACACUCCUUUGAGAAUUCAUCGCUAACAAUGUAGAGGGAUACAAUAACAGUAACCUCGCUACUAACCUAACGAUUAGGCGAGAUUAUGAUGCCCAAUUACCGCGAUCCCAAAACUUAUAACUCAUUAUUCAUUACACAUACUUAAAAUGGUUUACACAAUUAAUAUAAAUAGAAAGACCCCCAUUUUUAAUAUGUGAAUAUAUGGAUUAACACUUACACAAUAAUCUAAAGAUCUAAAAACAAAAAUCCCGUGGUAAUGAAUCCUUUUCCAUAAAACUAAAACGAAUAGAUUAAAUUGUGUCUUGUGGGUAAUGACAUCUUGUGUGCCAGGCAUCGCAUGUGAGAAAACGAUACUCUCGUGUGAGUAACCAAGACCACAAGAACCUCACCUCACAUGUUAAUAUUUUUAAAUUUCGUUACUCUCUCUUUACUGAUAAGAAGUUUAAAAGAUUGUCGAGUUCGUAAUAAUGAGCAAAAUAAAAAACUGAUAGAAGACAACACUCAGCGAAGGAGCUACUCAAGCAAUCCACGCAAGCGAAAGACGAAUUUUAGACGAAUAACAAACUUUGAGGCCAAACAUAUUGGAUAGACUCAGCCAUGUUCAAAGCGCAGACCCCGACAUGAGUAUCUUCUAAAUCCUCAUUUUUACAAAACAACUGCGUAUAACAACGCAUCGCAAGAAUGAAAAUUCCAUAGCUUCAAUCAACUUUUACAUGACUACUCAAAACAAAGCUUUUAAUGAAUAUACUAGCAUGGAACACACUCUUGAGAAGUAAUGGGCUUGAAGAUAUAUGUUUUUGUGUAUUGACCAAAUGUUUAUACGAGGUCAUGUCAUAGCAGUAUCAUGCAUGAAAGAAAGCAAGUAAUAAUAAUUUUAAUCUUAAGCCAAUGUUUAUCACUGAUUUUUCUUCGUCAAUACAUUAUAACUCAAAAUACUUUCGAUGAGGCGUAGGUGAACACACCAUCUCCACAUCAAGGUAAUGAGCGAUAAGGUAAAGGACAUUGUGGAGCCUGUAACUCAUUAGGUAGAAUAGAUGCAAUAUUUUGGUUUGAUGCCAUUUGCGUGGUUUAUCUCCCAGAGAAAAUAAAUAAGAUAUUUUACAGUCAUUAAUCUUACGUAUUAAAACAUAGCUUAGAACAAUUGAGUAAAAUCUCCUUUCUCAAGUGUCAUUGAUUGUCAUUAUCUAAAUUUACAAAUUAAUGCUGUUUGGAGAGAGAGGUCACAUAUGCGAAGUGCGAGCUCUCCUAUCUCUUUACAACAAAUAAUUAUUGAUGUAAGCUUCUGGUGUAUAAUUUAUAGGUCAUAAGUGUACCAAGAGGAUGGUGAAGUUUGCAGGUAUAGCUACUUUUUUUAGCCUAGGUAUCUAAAUUAUCCCGUCACACUCAGCCUCCCAAUCCUGUAACUACAAUUAUGUUUAGGUCUCGAUACACCUCAAUAUAAAUCUUAGGACAAAUAUACACUCAAAAUAGCAAAAAGAACUACACCAACUAUCUUAGAGUAAAUUCCUAAGGUCAUUUCCAAUCACGGUAAAUGACUAAAAUUGAAUAUAUAUAGUCCUUACAUCUUAGAAUUAUAGUCCUCAAAAAAAAUUUAUUAUUUGUACACAUAAGAAAGUAUUAGGUAUAAGUGUAAAUACCUUUAAGUAGACAUACUCAAAUUAUGCAGGUCUUGCGCGUGAGAGUAUAUAUCUACAUAUCUCUCACCUCUCAAUAGUCAAGUAUUCUUUCACCUUACUUAUUCGAUAUUACUUAUUAAAGAUGCCUACUUUUAAAACCGUUUUAUUAAAAAGAUUUAAGUAUUAUCGCUUUUGUUAAAAGUUCUUUUUUAGUGUUAUUAGAUAUAAUUAAAUACAUGAGCGCAAAGGAAUAAGUCGUCAACAAUUCUAUAGUCAGCAUUGUGCGAGAAUUAUCGAGACACUUAAUUAUAAUUUCAAAUGUCUCAGAAGAGCUUUUGCGCAUUGACGACCUAAAAAAAGGUGUAAACCUUUCAUUAGAGUUAAAACAUCCUAGUACUAUAAAUUGCAUAUCUGUUUUAUAUCACUUAGAUCAUAUGAAAAAACCACCACUUUCAUCUACAAUUAGAAAAAGAUCUAGAUUGAUGGUGCCACCACGGUCACAUAUACAUCUCACUUAAGUUUAAUUAAAACCUGUUAUUUAUAUUAUUUUAUUCAUAUCUUAAUUUAUAGACACCAGAACAUAUUUCCCAAAAUGGCACUUCAUUUUUCUCCUAUUCUAUGUUUUCAUAAUAAAAAAGGUUAAAAAGGGGGGGGCUAACCAUUGGUUACAUUUGACACGUCAUUGCGCUGUUUGCGCGCCGUCGGUCCUAUUAACCAAUAGCCACUAACAUCCUUGGGCCCAACUUGUAUGACUCCAAUAAUUUAGACAAUUUUUACUUUAAGGCCACAUUUAGACAGUUUUCAUUGCUUGUUGUUAUCUAUAGAUUAUAAUAUUCAUUAUUCGCGACUACAAGCUAAUAGGUCACGAGUAUUAUUGUACCUUUUGCACAUGCGCAUUUAAACAUGAUGCAAUCUAUUGUUAACUAAGGAUCAGGAAGAAAAAACUGAAAUUGAUAAAGUCAGAAUUUAUAGAGUCGGUACACAAUAGCGAGAGUCAUUCCUGGGUCGAUAUUUUAUUACACAACUAAUAAGAUAAUAUUUAAAAGACCAUAAAUGGAGAGGCACAGUGAACAAAUAAUAAGGAGAAUCCCAUUUGUGGUAAUUAUGGUACGAGCACCUCCAAUUCCAAGUUUUUCACACUAUUAACAUGAACAAUUGAUAUUAAAUCUAUAUUCAGUUAUAUACCCAAUUCAUCGUACUGAGUAUUGAGAACUUCAUACUUUUAGGAAAAAAUUUCACACAAAUCUCACACACCUUCUAAUUUCAUUUCUUCCUUACUGUAGAGUCUCCACCUCCAAUUAAAUACAAUAUACAUCACAAUAAUUUCCGCGAGAGCAAUAUAAUAAAGAUAGCUUGACACCCUCUCGCACAUACUCAAUUUUUCCCUAUAAUAUCGUGAUAACGUUUUGAGUAAUUUCACUUUAGUAAUCUAAAUUUUCUAUCACACACAAAUCUAAUAAAGAAGGGUGGGGUUGGAUCACUACUCCAUCGUUGGCGAAUUAGAAAAACGUCCUAUAAACUCACCAUCCAAGUCUUUCAAUACUGCCUGGAUUUCGCAUUCCGCUUUUCAUAAACCACACUUACAAACAAAUUUAAACUUCUAUUUAAUAAUAACAAAUAACAACAGAGAAAGCCAUACAUAUUAAAAGAGAGAGAAGCAAAGCUCAAAAAGACAAUAAGUAGACCAAACCUGAAAGAUAGGGAAGAGAACUGUUUAUUGCAUUCUACUAGUAUCCAACCCCAGAUAUACAUAUAUAUCCCUGCGAUAAAUAACAAAGUGGAGAUGUCACCGCUCUAGUAUUUGAUAGUAACUGCCUGAGUGAUAAUUAGAGAAAAUCAAGAGAGAAUAGUGCGAUAGAUGCUGAUAAAGUUAGUAGCAAAAAUAAUAUGAUUUAAAUUAAGGGAUAAAAGACAAAGAAGGUGCGAAAUCACAGCGGAGAUCAGACCCAUCUACGAAUAUCUCUCAAAUUAGAGUCACCAUCUUUUUUUAUGCUAUGUAAAUAUCACUCUAUCACUGCUAUCUCUCUUAGUAUAAUGAUCCCACUCACUAGCUGUCUCUAUCCUACUCAAUCUACAUGAAGCGGGAACAAAGAUCCAGCAGAACACAUAUAUAAACGACAAAUAACCACCAGUUCACCCAUUGAUAUGUAAAAUCAUAGUGUAAAAUCUUCGAUACUCCUCACUAAAUAAGUUAUGGCAGUAAACAAGGAAAUACUAGUUAGCAAAAUCGUAAAAGUUACAAUCCAUAAUUAUCCAUUGGAAAAUCAAGACCCAUCGCGUGUCUAAAUCAAAUUUAGCCCUCUAUACUGUUUAAACCCUCUCUACUAAAAGUAAAUAACUGCAAAUCCGAGAAGCUGUUACAGACUGCUACAUGAGAUUCUAAUUGUGAUUUUAAUCCUAUUUUUAGGUCAUUAAUAAUUGUUCCUGGAUACACAUUGACACCAAAUAAGAAUAUCAUUAUGGGACUGAGAGCACACAAAAACCUAUGAUUCAUUACGAGUGUCAAUAUGUAAUAUUAAUUAUGUUUGUUAAGUUUGUUACUUAAAGUACUUAAACGAUUUUAUUCAUAAAAUCAAUCUAAUACAUCGAAGAGAAAUAAGUGGGAGCAACUGCCAGAAAAAGGUGAGGAAAAAGGAAAGACAUAAAGUAAUGACUAUAAAAGCACUAACAAUGGAAAAUCUAUACGAUAACUAUGGAAGAACUGUAAAUUUAAGUAAUAGUUAAGAGUAUAGCAACAUCAGAAGAUGAAAAGUAAUAAUAAUAUAGGUGAGGGUAAUGGGUAAAAUGAUUAAAGAUUAUUUAUAAAUUGAAAUAAUUAAUAUGUAAUUAUGUGUGACAACUUAAUAGGAUCACAUUAGAGUUGGUAAGUGCCUUGUAACCCAAAGGUUUGAAUGAAAAUAACAUCAAAUCUAGUGAGAUGAAAGGUUUUAGAGCUCAUAUGCUGAUAAAUUAUACAUUUACUGGGCUUCUAACACGUUUUUUUGAGAUAUAGCACAAUAAUUGCAAGUAUAUUUAGGAGUAAGUUGUAAGAUAUGUAACUAUAUCCAGGUGAGACCUGUAGGUAAUUGGAAGAAUAUAGGGUGUUGUAUCAAGAGACAAUGUUUUAACUAAUAUCCAACAUUAGUAAUAGAAGAGGAAAAUCUUUGUAAGUGUGAUCCCAAUCUCUCUAUCAAAGAUAAGUUGGGUGCGGGAUUGGUGCCCUGUGGGCUGCCUUAAUGCUCAUAUAUUUAAAUAGGUGAGAACCCCAUAUAUCAAACUGGUUCCAAUAUCCAUACGAUCUUUUGAGACGAGAAGCCAAAUUGAUAACACAUCGAUGCAUCAGCUAUUAAGUAAACAAGAGAAAGACACACUACAGAUGGCCUGAGUACCUCCAUCACAGUGAGUGAUUCGAAUUAAUAUUGAGAUACUUAAUAGAGAGUAUUUGAUGUGAAGUGCUUUUCAGAAUCCUUAUGAAAUAUUUGUCCUACAAAUGUCUUAAAGAUGUUGAGUGAUUAAAAUAGAUACCUUUAGGAUAUGAGACUCUAACAAUGUGAAUAAUAGGAGAGGGAUUUAAAUUGAGCUAUUGAGCUUAUAAUUAAAUUGAAACUACUCUUCUCCUAUUCUAUUUAACGCAAUGAGUAUGUUCUAUAAUGAUCACGAAUCUUUAUAGUUUCUUUCUAAAAGUUCAUUGUAAUAUUUGAUAUUUAUAUGUACGACUUUUUUUCUGUCUAUGCGUAACAUAUCAGCCGAAGGGUGACCUGGGCUACUGCAAUCAAAAGCACAGAAGUAAGGUAUAGCAAAAUCGAUAUUUUUGGAGUGUACUCGGUUGUACAGCGGUUAAACAAGGUAAACAGAAAGAGCUCCAUAUAAAAUUAAUCUAUUAUGUCGACUUCUACUGCGGCAACUAGUGAAAAAUUUGACGAGUGUGUAUUGAAUAAACAGAUAUAAAUGCCUAACAGAUAGAGAAACAGAAAACAUUUAUUGUGAAUAGUUGUAAAUAUGAACAGGAAAAAGCCAAAAGCUUAAAAAUAGUAAUCUUAUAUCCUUUAUGCCAACCUAUUUAAAUCUUAGUGCACAUGAAUCCAGGGGCUUAAUUGAAACUUCCAACACUGCACGUUUUAUAUUCAUUUUAUAAGCGAUACUUUGGAUAUGAGCAAAUAAUCUCUAAAUUUAUUCAAGUGAAAGGGAAUAUUCUCUAGAUGUGAGAGAAAACUUUCUUGCAAGGCAGUGCAUUUUGAGUUGUUUAUACUUGUAGAUCGUCAAAUCCACUAUAACAUUUCAAUUGUUACAUACAUUAUCCUGUAUCCUCUAUAAUGUGUGCAGGCAAUAAAAUAUUAUGUCUUUGUAAAUAUAUAAUCAAAUUAUUGAUAACGUUAUUUAUAUUAUAGAGAUAUCACUUAAAUAAAACUAUAAUUUAUGGGAAUAAAAAAAUCUAAAAAUGAAUAUAAAUCUCUCCAAUAAUUAAAUAACUGUCAUAAAUUAAUCACACAACAUAUCACAUGACUUUUUAAUUCAAUAACCCAACUAAAAUAUCAAAACACACGAGUACCCUUGAGACCCAGAUAGAUUCCAAACAUAGACUAUUUGAGAAGCGACGGUCUGUGCUGGCCGCGUAUGAUUAUAUACACCUGAGAAUGAGGUGAGGCGGACAGCAGUAAAUAUGAUGAUGUCGAGAAACCAAUGUGAAGUUUGAUAUCAUUAUAUUAUAAAAAUAAACAAUCUAUAUCGUUAGUAUAGCUAGAAUGACUAUCACGAAAUACGACGCGGAUGGCAUGAGAACACGAGGCUUAAUUGUACAUGAUAUCCGCAUGAAUUCGGACACAGUGACAUUAAAAGGUAAUAAAGAUAAACAAGCUAUUAAUGAUCAGUAGAAGUUUAUAUUAAAGAGAGUGAAGGUAUAUAAGAAUUUCUAUUUAAUGAAGACAUAAAAAUAGUUUAAGAUAAAUAAGGAAGAUCUAAAAAAGACAACCUUCUCUCUGCUCUUUUCUUUACGGGUUAUUGUAUUAAUUUAUUACCAAUUCUGGCAUCAGAAAAAAAUUUACAAAAAAAAAUAAGAAUAAAGCUGAAAAAUGACACGGAAUCCUGUCAGGACAGAUAAAUAGAAAAACGUACAGCAUCUAAAAAAUCCAGGAUGUUGAUACAACUUAAAAGAUAAGAGACUGAUAGGGUCCUUCUGCGAGAAAAUACACAAUAUUUCUAUAUAUGAAACCCGAUAAAAAUAAAUGCAUGGUGAGAUCAACCACCCAGCGUGACACAAUUGAAACUUACACAAAUACAAUAUAACCAGAAAAUAUCAGGAGGACUUAAUAAUAUAACAAGGCAAACACACAACAGCAUCAUCAUAGCAUAUCAAAUAAUCAUUGAGUAAUCUUGAAUACAUAAUAAUACAUAUAUACCAGCUUACACGCAAAUCGGAGAACUAACACCUAUAGUGACCUGUAGCGCUGUCAAUCUCACAAGAUAUUUGUCAAAUUCAAAAUUCGAGAAUGUCACACUCAUAACCGAAGAGUCUACCUAAAGAGAGAUUCUGUAAGCGAAGAAACAUGAUUCGCUUCAAUAAUCUAUACAAUAGCAACACAAUAUUAUGCCCAUUCAUCCAAAUGCAAAAUUCUAGGCGGACAUAAUGGCUCAUCUACAGUGUAUGACAAGAGCUCAUUCAACAAUUCUCAUUCAACAUAAGGAUAAUAAGCUAAUCAUCGAACAAUAUGCAGCAAUCAAUGCACAUAAUCUCAUAUCAUCAUGGAAAUGCUAAACUUCAUCUUAUUAUAUAUUAAUGUACAUAACACAUAUGGCACAGACAAUAAAAGUCACAUAUAAAUUUUUAUCACGGUUAUGCUGAAAUAGCGUUAUACACCAUAUUUAUCACGUAUGCUAGCCAUUACAUAUUUAAUAUCAACGUAUGCUAGCUCAUCACAAUUCAUCACAUAUGCUAACUCAUCCACAUAUCUCAUCAACCUAUGCUAGCUCAUCACCAUAUUUCAUCAUAUAAAGAACUAUAGAUCAUUAAGGUGGAUAGAAAAAGUUUUAUCCUCUACACUUCGGUUAACAGUGAACAGUGUACACGACCUAUCCGAUAGCUCAAUAAGUAUACUGCACAGUGGAGUGCGAGAACCACACUCUCGAAAGUGGUUCUUACUGUUAACAUAGACUUAGGGUGAAAUAACGCUUACAAAUCAAGUACUCAAGAGAGCCUAAAACGUUCUGAAAGACUAAAGCGCGACUGAGGUUCAACUAAUAAGUCAUUUCGGAUAGCUGAUGCUCCGAGAGACGCAGGACUAAAUAGGAAGAUUCUGUCCACCCAACACCGAGCUUGGGUGCAUCCAACCACUGCCUUAAGAACCAAGCGCGCAAGUCACGUUAUUCGUAGUCCGGGUGGUGAGCGAGACUUUUAUAACAUUUAACUUUAAACGUGAUAUGAAGAACAUGAGCCAACAUGAGGCCACCGGUGCAAUGGAAGACCUCAUCAUCACAUCUCCUACUAGCAAUCGUGGUGUGUCUAUGUGAUUUGAAUUAGAGGAGGACUUGCACUAGAAAAUCACACCAUCUAUUUCAUACGAAUAACACUAUGUAGCUGGACUCAUAGGGAAAUCCAAAUCCGGGCAACGAACCGAGUCGCCGUGAAAUUGCUUAAAAUAAUAUCCAACCAAUGUACACUCGUUCUCAUUACACAAAUCUGAAAUACGUCACAAAAGGGGAUCUCUCCAAACACAAAGCAGUAAAUACAGUAUAUUGAGUGCAAUGCGACCAUUCUCACACCUAUACAUUAGAGCGGUCACCCCUGAACUAGUAUCUAUGAAUCACGAACGUUCGCGACAGCUGCCUGAAUAUUUAGUAACCAAUCUUGCGUAUCUUAAAAAGCAUUCAAUACAUAUAUUAAUGCGCAAAUAAUAUAAACUUAUGGCACAUAAAUGACGUCUGAAAGCACCAUGUUUACAAUAGAACUUGAAGCAAAACGGAGAGAAAUAGUGAUCACAAAUAAACAUAAAUAGUUAGGUAGGUUAUGUUGGUAUAUGUGAAAUCUAUUCUCACUUUAUUCCAACGGCUACGAAACAUAAUAUCACAAAUUAAAGCAUGGAGCUAUAAAAAUGCACUAAUAUAUAAUGCGAUCUAAUUAUAACUCUCCCAAAGAACUAUAAUAUUUCGACGUCGGAAUAAUAACUACACGAGAUUAUCCCAAUGACAACAUCAAUACAAAAAAGUUUAAUUACCCGAAAUAUAACUACAUUAACUCUAUAGCAAUUCUUUCUAUCCAGAAAUAACUAACAGAGAAAUUCCUACUACAAACAUCAACUGAAUUAUGACCCACCCCCCCCCCAGAGCGAGGAUCCGGACCCACAAUCCUGUUGUACAAUCGAUAAGAAGCGGUUAUUAAUAUCUGCGACAUAAAUUUCAAUCAUAAAUGUUCUCAUCAUAACUUGAUCAAUUUCCCAUAAAACAAUAGCUUGCAUAUGUCUUCUAAUUAAAUAUCACCAUUUCUCAUGGUUUUAUGGUAUAUGGAACCGACUAUAGAAUCUAACGUUUCGUUAGAUUGCCUACGUACCCCUAACAAAGGAUCAAGGGAAACCAUUUGACCUAUUUCGCACUUAGUUACAAUCACAAAAAGCAUUUGACAACACUAAUAAUUAUAAUGCAAUAACCAAGUAAAUAUAAUAAUCACAUAGAAUUGAGUUAGGAAAUUAUAAAAUCAUUAUAUAUAUAUAUAUAUACAACACACACAUGAUAUGUAACCAGUGAGAAAGAAACAAUCAACUAACCACCUGAUGGAACUCAAUACUUAGAGCAUAAUCAGUACACCCACUACCUACCACUGUCACAUAAACCACUAAUCACUGACAACAUCGUUCGACUCUCUGUGGUCCACCUGUCCCAAAAUUCUGGCGAGAGAUAAAAACAACACACCCAAUCAAACUAGGCAACCUUUGAAACACCCGCACGACAACCCUACGAAAAUGAUAAUAUUGUACCUCAAUAAAUCCGACUAUGAAAGCUCCAUUCAAUGAUUGGGCAUUGUUCUCUGCCUAAAAGGGAGUCUAUUGGUGGUGGCAAUUGGAAGAAAUCAUUUCCCAAUUGAUGAAUUUUGGGCAAGGUCUCCCCCAUCACCCAUCACUAUUUUUGUACCAAAAUACUAUCAAAUUCCCUCUAAUUUUUGGUGGAACAAGAAGAGAAAGGGCCAAGGUGAUGAUUGGGAGCAGUUUAUAGGUCCAAUUUGUCGGAAAAUUGGACGAGAAACGGCGAGGAGCCGCCGGUUUAAGGAAACAGGUUAAGGAAGACCCGUUUGGGUUCCCUCCUUUUCUUCUUCUCUCCUUUCCUCCUGCUCUCCUUCCCUUUGGUCCUCCUUUCUCCUCCCUAUUUCCUCGAUUGGUCUCCCCUUUUUCUUCCAUUUUCUCCACUCAUUUGUUGCCCUCAGGCAGCCCCUCCUUCCUCCCUUUUUCUGCCACACACACACCCAUACACCAUGCAUAUAUUUCACUUUGCAUUAAUAAUAAUAAAAACAUAGUGUAAAAAUAAUUAAAAUAAUAUUUCAUUCCAAAUACCUUUGGGUUCGUAGCUCAAUAAAACUUUAACUGUAACUCCAAAAUCACUUCUACAUGUGCCUACCCAUCCUUAAGAUCGAGCUCUAUCCGAAUAUGUCAAGAAGAUGAGUCUCGCAUGACACGACGCGGUAGUCAACACAAGUCAACACUUUGCCUCGAAAGGCAUCUUCAUAAACUCACGUAUUAAAAUUAUAAAAUCAUCAUUUUUAGGGACGGGCUGUUACACACACACACACAUGGGUACGUUCAUCAAAACCAACCAAAAAAUUAUUGUACCAAAACAUAGGUACAUUUAAAAAAAAAAAAGAUAUUAGACUUAAUAACAUUAUUAAAUUUCUUCUAUUAAACUUGACAUGGAUAUAUCCUCAAAUAAAUAGAAUGUACCCAUAUAAGUAUAAAAAAAAUGGAUUAGAGAAAAGAUUGAAUGGAUUUUAUAUAAAAAAAAUAGGUACAUUUUAUAUUAAAAAAAGAGUACAUUUUUCACAUGACAAAUUGAUAUAUUUAAGAAUGGGUACAUAUAUGAUUCAAAAAUUGAAAUUUUUUUAUAAAAAUUUAAUAGGUACAAACUUAUUCUAAUUUUAUUUUUUAUAUUUUGGAAAUGUUUGAAUUGAAAAUUAAUUAGGAGUUUAAUAAGGGUGUGAGUAUUAAAACUCUAAAUUAAUUACUAAUUUUUAUUAUAAAAAUUAUGUAACUUACAUGUAAUUCAUUAAUAUAUUAAUGUCAAAGAUUUUAAUCAAAAUCUAAAAAAUGAUAAGGUCUUAGUCAAUGAAUAUUAGAAAAUAGGGACCGGAUACUAAUUUUUCCAUUUUAUAAUUCCACUAUAUUUAUUUAUUUUUUAUUGAAAAAGAGAUCAGUUGGUGACUUUGUCAUGGCAGUUCACCCUUUCGGCGAUCGGAAAAACUCACAUAGCCAUUUCAGCUUUCCACUAACCACCAUCGUGCGAUUUACUAGCCUCAUAAACCAACCAGAAUGUGUGGGAAUGUAUGCUUGAAAUUCAUUCUAACCACUAGACCACCCCGUAAUGGUUAUUCCAUUAUAUUGAAACAUAGCUCUUUGUUUGAUUUAUUAACCUGGAAAGCCAACAUGUCCAUGCAUAUAUUACAUUAUCAUAUCAGUUAUAUUUUGAUACUAAAGACCUAUUAGAUUUAAAUCAUUUUGGACAUAAUCAGGCUAUUCAACAAGUAGCUUCAUCUAUUUAUUUUUUUUCACUUUUGAUGAAAAAAAAAAAGGUUGAGAUUUAGUUCAAUUUGAACUAGUUUAUUUUGUUGAGAAUGAAUUUCACGUAUAUGAAAUGAGAGAUUUUGCAUGUGUUUAUAACAGAUUGGACUACUCCCUAUAUUUCCAAUUGUUUUUAUGGUGGAACCCAAUUUUUUUCAUGGUAUCAGAGCCAGGUCAUCUCACGUGUGAAGUCUCACGGCCACACGCAUUACACAUUACCCAAGUUGUGUUGUCCACGUAUUAUAAGAGAUUUGAACACUCCUCAUAUUAAUAAGUAAUUUUAUAAUAGAACUUCAACUUUUUCACAUUUAUAAAAUAAAAAUUCCAGGAAAGAAUUUCCGCAACAAAUAUAUAUAUAUUCUACCUUGAUGAUUGCAAACUCCCAAUUUAAUACGUUCAAAUAAGAGCUUUUUAAACGCUUUUUGAACACAAUAACACUUUAUAUUCCAUCAAAUAUCAUUGCGCAACAAGAGAUGUAUCUAUUUGAUAGAGACCUAUUUUGAUAUGAUAAGAAAAAUAAAUACAUGAAUAUAUUCAUAUGAAAACAUCAAUCCCAGAGAUUUUAUUAAUUAUGAAUAUAAUUCUUCCACUCCCUCCAUGGAACAACUUUGUAGAAGAGACAGAAUCAGUGUGGGUCACGUCCUCCACUCCCUUCAAUAACCUUGGCCUUUUACACUCCCAAAACCCUACAUAUAAAGCUCAACGUUUUGAUUAGACAGUUGUGGGGAUGCAAUUAACUUUCAUUUCCUUUAUUAAAUUAAAUUAGCUAGUAUCCCACUAAUUUCAAAAUGCUUAUAUAUACCACUUCAAGCAUGAGAUGUGCCAACAGUGGAUAUAAUUUUAGGGUAAAUUACAUAGUAACCCCUCAGGUUUGAGGUCUAUUACAACCUCAUACAAUAUCUUUAAAACAUUUCACUUUCAUACCUCACGUACUGUUUUAUUUCAAAACAAUACCUCUGUUGCAUUUUUCAUCCAUUGAUCCGUUAAGUGCUGACGUGGCUGCCAAAUGUAUGCCACGUGGCAAAAAAAAAUUCUAAUAUUUUUUUUUAACACUAAAUUUUCUUAAAAAAAAAGGAACAAAAGCUGAAACAAAUGCCUGCAACCCCCCAAACCCAAGAAGAAAAAAACCACCCCACCUCCCUACCAAUUAUUCCCCCCACCCUCCCCUCCCCUUCCCCCCUCCUGCUAUCAUGACUGACCCCCACCCUCCCCCUCCUCCCGUGGCUAACCUCACCAAUUAUUCCCCCCACACUAAGAAACCCACAUCUCUCCCUCUCCACCCACCCUCUUCCCUCAUCUACACACUCCACUCCUUAAAUCCAACACUCAUUCCUCUCAUCUUCACUUCAUGAACCCGGUGUAAACGAGAUCUGAGUUUUUUUUUUGUUUUUCUCUGGGUUGCAGGUGGGGGGUCGGGGGAAGAAGAUGAAGAUGGGGGAGAAGAGAGGGGAGGAGGAGGGGGAAAGACGAACUGAAGAGGUUUUUUAUUUUUUUAUUUUUUGGGUUGCAAGGGGAAGAAAAUGAAGAUGGGGGAAAAGACAAGAGGAGGAGGAGGAGGAGGGGUGGGUAAGACGAACUGAAGGACUUUUUUUUUUCUUUAUGGGUUGCAGGGGGAAGAAGAUGAAGAUGGGGAAGAAAAGAUGAGAUGAGGAGAAGGGGGCAUAAGGUUUAUGGGUUUGGGGGUUGCGGGGAGAAGAGAGGAGGAAGAGGGGGAUAAGGUUUCAGCUUUUGUUUUUGGUUUUUUUUUUUUUUUAAUUUAGAAGAUUCAGGUUUUUUUUUUAAAUUAAAAAAAAAAUUUGCCACAUGGCACAGAUUUGGCAGCCACGUCAACGCUUAACAAAUCAAUAGAUGGAAAAUGUAACAAAUGUAUUAUUUUGAAAUAAAACAAUAGUGAGGUAUUAAAGUGAAAUGUUUUAAAGAUGUUGUAUGAAGUUGUAAUAUAUCUCAAACCUGAGGGGUUACUAUGUAAUUUAUCCAUAAUUUUAAGAAAUUAAUUUGGAUCCUCAAUAGGUGAGGAGUUCCUCCUUAAUGCUUCGUUAUUGAUAUACGAAAUUUGGUACUUAUGAUCAUAAUCAUUUAUAUUAUAAAUCACAUUAAAAAUACCAUAUAUGCAAAAAAAAAAAAAAAAUUAAAAAAAUGAGAUCGUUGGGUCAUUGAACUGUGUAAAAAUAAUGGUCAGAUGGUAUAAAAAAGCAUUAUGAACCGUUUAUCUAUUUACUACAUUUGAUUUUUUGCAUAAAUGAUCUUUAAUUACAUAGUAAUUUAUAAUAUGAAUGGUUGUAUUUAUAAAUACAAAAUUUUGUAAAUCAGUAACAAAGCAUCUUAAAGAUUCCUACUUAAUUUUAAAGGACAUUUUGGAUGCAGUCUCUAACUACUAAUGUUCUUUGACUCAAACCUUGGUAGUUUUUAAUUUUUUAUCGAAGUUCCUGACAUUAAUGUAAUAGUGUAUUUCUAUGUAGGUUAUUAUAUUUUUAAAUUAAAAAUAAAAUUUUUAGUUAUUUAUAUUAAUGAGAUUUUAAAUAAAACCCAUAAUUUAUGAGAUUAAAAAUAUUAAAGAUGAAUUAUGCUCUCCAAUAUUUUGUGUGUGUGUGUGUGGGUACAUUCAUUAAAAUGAACCAAAAAAUUAUUGUACUAAAGCAUGGGUACAUUUUGCAAAGGCACAAAAAAAUAUAUAUAUUAGACUUAAUAACAUUAUUAAAUAUAUUUUGUUAAACUUGACAUGGAUACAUUCUCAAAUCAACGAAAUAGAAUGUACCCAUAUAAGUUUAAAAAAUGGAUUAGAGAAAAUAUUGAAUGAAAUUUUAUAUAUAGAAUGGGUACAUUUUUUACAAAUUGGUAUAUUUAAGAAUGGAUACAUAUAAGAUUAAAAAAUUUAAUGGUUACAAACUUAUUCUAUUUUUUUAUAUUUGGGAAUGGUUGAAUUGAAAAUUAAUUAGGAGCUUAAUAAGGGUGUGAGUAUUAAAACUCUAAAUCAAUUACUAAUUUUUUUUUAUAAAAAUUAUGUAACUUACAUGUAUUAAUAUAUGAAUACUAGAGAAUUUGAUCAAAAUUUAAAAACUGAUAAGAUCUUAAUCAAUGAAUAUUAGAAACUAAAAACAAGAAACUAAUUUUUCCUAUUUUUAAGGAGCCAAGCUUUCCUCUAAUUUCAAAAGGGUAUGCAACUAUAUAGGGGAUUAUCUGAAAGAUGCUUAUUCCCUAGAAAACAACUAGCUAGCUGAUAGCUCUGAGAUGAUACUAAACCAAUCAUUUAAUGUACAUGAAUGAUUUGCAAUAACCUCACUAAUAAAACAGAUAUUAUAUAAAAUGUAACAUCAAAUAAUUUGGAUGGAAUUGGAACUAAUGAUCUAGUAUAAUUAGCUUAUGCACAAAAUUAUAUAGUACUACUGUUCUGUAUUGUUUUUUCCUCAUCUCUUUUUCUGUGUGAUUAGAUUCGUUUUCUUUUGUAGUGACCAAAAUAUCAAGUGCUACAGUAGCCAGGAGCAUUUAAACUUUUUUUCUCCAUAGGGUUACUGUGCCUCUGGGAUGCAUAUCAUAUGACAUUUGUUUGUGUGAAAGAACCUUUGAGUGGUCAAUUAUAUAUGCGGUUUUGAAUAUGAAGGUUUAAUUUUUAUAUGCUUUCACUCGAAUCAAAUGAAAUAAUGCUUUGGCUACGUAACUUCUAUAAUUUUCUCAAUUUAAACAAACUGAAUUUUUAAAUGACGUUAAGUGUACUGCAUCGGCCUCUAACAAAAACAUUAUAAGCACAUAGAGCAAAGGUUAUUGGUGGAGUCGAGUUAUGCUCAACCUAUACAUAGAUAAGCUUGUUGUGUGUAUGUUAAGACAACACUAAUUAAGGCUAAUGACUAUUUAGCCCAAUAAGAUUCUCUUAACAUGCAAAACUUGUCAAAACUCUUCAUUAAGAAAACGAAAAAGAAAAGGAAAAGAAACCUUGCGAUCGAGGAAUUGCCACCAUUCUUUAAAACCAAUCUCUUUUGAGUUCAAACAAAAUAAAAUGUCACUAAUGAUCUAACCUUCCAUUUUGGCACAAUGUUCUUGUCAUUUACUAUUUAUGAAAAGUAGAAAAGAGAAAUAAAAAUUAAGAUCACCAAAUCUUAAUUACUAUUACUAAUAGCCUAGGGGAAUCACCUUUCUACAACAAUGGCUUCUUUUCAAUUUCUUAGUACAAGAAUUGCUUUCAUGACAUGCUCAAGCUGUCCACAUUGAUUAGGAUUCAAAUUAACAUCAUCACAAUUAUCUCCACAACAUUUCCUCAAGAGAACAAUUGCACAAUAUGCAAACCGCCCCACCAAUGUUUUGCUUUGACAAACAACAAAAACCCCACAAGGGAUUUGACUAAUUUCAGGAGUCUUAACCAAAGAAAAAACCAAAAACUCUUCUAAUUAGUGGAUGACACACCCCACCAAAGUUUUACUUGCUAAUUAUUCAACAAGAAUGCCUUAAUAAAGGCUAUAAUAAAAGGCACAUUAGUGGGGAAAGGAGGCUCUUAUCAAAACACCUGAAAAUUGCUUGUUUGCCAAGAUGUGAGAAAGUAAAAAAAAAAAAAAAAAAGAAAAGGAAGAUAGUAGUGCGCUAGCCCACCGUAUAGGCUGUAGGACUUGAAGUUUGUUAUUUAAAGUAAAAAGGAAGUCACAAAUUAAAAAGGGAAGCCGACAUAAGUUUUACAAAACUAAACCAUGACUUGGAAUGACGAGAUCAAGUAUUUUGUACUUAUUUUGUGUGUGGUAUCUAUCAUUAAUUGACACGUGAUUAAUUUAUAAUAAUAAAAUUAAGGAGUGUUAAAUUUAUUAACACGUAUCAGCCAAUAAUAAAGAUCACAGAGAGACCACGUACAAAAUAAGUGCAGAAGAUUUGAAUUGUGUAAUUUCAUCCAAUGUUUUCAUGUAUGAUUCAUAACAUCUUUCAGAUUGAAUUGUUCUAUUUUAUUUAGCGAAGUUUUGGUAGUUGGGAUUAAGGUUUUGUCGAGAUUAUAGCAAAUAUUUUGCUUUCUAAUGACCACAAAGACAACAAGCCCAUAAAUUUAAUGAGUACCUAAUCUAGGGUAUAUUACUUGAUUGGCCCAAAUAUAUAUUGGAUACCAAGUUCCUACAUAUGCUUAAGGCUCAAACCAUGACUCUGGCAAAAAUUGAGGUAGUGGAUUCACGUAUGUUUAUAUUCAUCCAAAGCCCAUAACAUGAGAUUGAGAAUUCUUUUGUUCAUUUUGGAAAUAUCAAGAAACCCAACAAUUUUCUUUUGACAAAUAACAACCAGUCUUUAUUUUUUUUUGUAACUUCAAAAAGCCAAUGUUGCUAGGAAAUUUGGAAAAGAGUAAUGCUUGGGACACUAAUUUUUUUAAACCAAAUGAUGUGUCACUAAUAAGAAACAAGCACAUUAAUCGACACUUGGUUAAUAAUUUAAUCAUCUCCAACCACAUCAUUUAGUUUGCAAAUUUGAUUUAAAAAAUUUGGUCUCCCUAACAUUAUUCUUUGGGAAAAUGUAGUUUUUAGGGGCUCAAAACACUUUUGUCCUCCAUUUUAAUUUUUCUAGAAUUGUCAAGUUUUACGCUGGAACAACUUAACUAACCCUAUGACAAUUCUAGAAAAAUGGAAACCAAGAAAAUAGUUUAAUAUUUGAAUCACAUUAUUGCUAACUCAUUGCGAGGCUUAGCCCAUCCCUUCCUCUUUAGUGUAGAUAAUAUCGUUUGUUUACAACAUGCAAAUAUAAAACUUGGGAGAGUCUCGAGUUUUUUCUUCUUCUAAAUUUCUCAAUUUUACUCGGCGCAAGGUGAAUUAGGUUCGUUCCCUUGGAGUAGAGGAACAUAAAAUAUAGAUACCUAUAUCAAGAAGAAAAAUAUUAUUAGCAUUUUAGCAAGGUUGUCUCUGAGAUUUUAGAAGCUUUGUGCGGAAUUUAUAAAAGGGCCCCUUUAAGAUAGUUUUUUUUUAAUUUUAUUUAUUUUUUAUUUAUUUUUGAAAGUAAGAUAAUGUAUUGAUGCUAGAAAGCAAUAACUUAAAUUAAAACAAACUUUAGGACUCACUAAUUGUAAGUUUACAAACGUCAUUAAAUAAUAAGUAAAAAGAGUUACAAAUAUACCUUUACUAAAUAAUCAAAAGUAGUCAAAUCUUAAACAACCAAACAAGAAAUAAAACUUCAAAAACUCUAACUUUGAAGUUUCACUUGAAUAUAUAGCAUUUAUAAUAUAAUAAAAUUGAAAAGAAAAAAAGCGUUUUAUAGGGUGUUAUACUGCACUCCAAAUUUUAUAAUUAAAAAAAAACAAUUUACAUUUAUAAAGAAUGUACAAUGAGAUUUUAAAAUGCUAAUGAAAAUAAAUUUUUUAAUAUAUAGCAUUAUUACAUAUAAAUAUUAAAUGAUAAUUUUUUUUGGAAGCCCUUCAAAUUUAAGAGUCCAUAUUUUCUGCACCCAAAUCCCUAUGACUCCUCCGUGACCCAUUUAAAUAUGCAACAUGUGUUCAGGCACUCACUAAUAUUAACUCUGUUAAUAUUUCAGUUAGCAUUAACCCCUGUUAUCUGCUAAAAUUAUCAAUCUCCCUCUGUAAGUAAUUUGUUCUUAUUUUAUACGUGAAUGGAUUGACAUAGAUGCAGCUUUUGUUUAUGGUUUUAUUUUUUUUCACGGCCUUUGCCCAGAUUUUGGUCUUGAUUAAACUAAUCCAAGCUGGAUUUCAAAAUUCUCAAUCUUCAUGUCCAAACACUGAACCAUGGAGCCUGGAUUUUGAUCUUGAUAAUUAUGGAAGCCGAAGCGAGGGAGAAGGCGAGUUGCGACAGAGGGAAUUGGAAGAGUCCAAGCGUCAUUUGCAUUUUGCAAUUAUUUUCUCAAAAAAUUUAGCAGAUAAAAGAGGAGAUAACAUGGGUUAAUGCUAACUGAAAAAUUAACAUAGUUAAUAUUAGUAAGUGGUGGACACGUGUCGCAUAUUUAGAGGGGCCACAAGAGUGUUUGAGUGCAGAAAAUUUGAACUUCAGAUGAUUAGAAGACCUUUCGUUCCCCGAAAACCGACUAUAUUUUUUAGACCUAUAUUAUCAAGCAAAUGCAAAAACAAUAUGAAAAGAAAACAGUGAUUAUAAUAGGCUUCGUCAAAGACCAUCACGCUAUAAGAAUCCUUCACUUGGCCAAGCACUGGUUGACUUUUGAUCUCUACGUUGUCCUAACAUACAUCGAUCCUUAUAAAAUUCAUGCCAUAGUUUACAUAGUAAACAAUCAAAUAAAAGUCAUGUCACGUCAUCUUUAUUUCUUGACAUUUAACCGAAAGUAUAUCUCCAAAGUAAUUAACUAUAUUUAAACAAGAAAAAAGAAUUACAUGGGUUUAAUGUACCUUGUGACAAGUAGAAGACAUCAAAAGACAACACCAAACAUAGAAUCCAAAUUCCCUGAUAUUAUCAAAGUUUUCAUCUUUCUUUCUUUGUGUUUGUCCCACUAUUAUUGGGGGGAGUUGGUGGUGGGAUUUGGCCCAAAAGAAACGUUUUAGAAACUUUUGCAAAACAAAGAUUGUACGUAAUGAUAUAACAUACUUUCUUUGACAAUCUCGAUUAACUUAUAAACUUGGUAAAUGAAAUUAAGACCAAAUAAGUUCUUGCCAAAACUAACGUGUGCAUCAAAUUCACGUUACUUAUUCACAAGCUAACGUGGACACCAAUUCACAUUACUUUUCUGAAUAUGGAAAGGGACAUGAGAACAAACAGAAGAGAAAAUAACUGGUGAAAGCCACCAAAAAUUAAUGAGAGAAGAAGACGACGACAUGCAACUCCUACUAAACCCUAAUAAAUGGGGGCAGUUGGUUGUUUAGUUUGAAAUGAUUAAAAUCGCAAGUAGUAGAGAUUGCCCCAUUCCUCUAAGAAAAGAUAUAAUAUUUGUUUUUUUUUUGUUAAACGAUAGAUUUUGUUAGAUUAGAUGUUAGAUUAACCACUGACCGGGUUUGAACCCACGUCGUUAUACAAGAACUCAAGACAUUUUCAUUACUGGUGUAAAGGGCCACUUGCGACAUAAUGUUUGUGUGCAGUGGUAACAAUAUAUAUACUACACAUUUUCUAAAGAGUACUUGAUAAGUUUGCAUUAAUUUUAAGUAUUAACAAAUAAAACACGUAAUUCAAUAUUAAUAGAUUAUAAACCUGUAUGAAAGUGGUUUAAAAAUAAUCUAAAGCGUUUUCAGCUCCCAAUAUAAACGUUUUUAAAUGGCAAGAAAGUUCAAAAAAAAUUUGUUUAAAAAAUCACUUAAAUUGUUUUAUUUUAAAAGUAAAAUUUUUAUUAAAUUUUUUAACAUGAUCUAAUUAAAAAGUUUAACACUUUUACGUAAACUGAUCCUAUAAUGGCUAUGGAUCUGCUGUCUCCAACUACGUGUCUUUUUUGUGUUUCCUUUAUAUUUUUAUGACAUGUGUCCUUUAACUUAACCAAAACUUAACACUGUUAAAUUUUAUUAUUUUGUGUUGAAUAAAAAAAUUAGACCAGUUAUAUUAUCUCUUCCCCCAUCUUCUUACCGACGACCAAGGUACCCACCCUUCGCCAUCUUCUCAUCGACGCCCCGGCGUCCCUCCAUCUCCUCCUCUUCCUUCGUCUCCCUUUGCUCCUACAUCCUUCUCAAUUUUAGCCCAAACAAUUGCUCUCUCCAACUAAAAUCAAUGACACCGACUCCAAUUUGAAGGCCUACAUACCUGACUAUAUGAAUCCCUACUGGAUCCAUUACAGAGCGGAACUUACAAUUGUUGACCUUCAUCGCCAGAUUCAAGGUGGUACAGAUUAUGUAAAGCAUGGUGGUAAGAUCCUUGCUACUAGUAUCGUUGCAUCUGGUGGCUAUGCAGAUGAUUUGGAUAAUUCAAAUUCCUUGAUUAUACAGGCCAAGUAGGAAAUGUGAUGAAUACUGAUUUGGAACCUGAAGAUUAAAAGCUUGAACUGGGAAACCUUGCUUUGAAGAAUAAGUCUGGAUGAAAAGAACGGGGAAAAGAUUGGAAGAAAUCAAGAGCCACACGGAAAAACAGUGAAGAAUUCUAGAUUUAUUAACCGAACAGUCGGUCUGAUUAUUUUGGUUUUUUUUUACUUUUAAAUAUUAAAUAAAAAGUUAACAGAGUUAUAUCUAUGUUAAGUUAAAUGACAUGUGUUAAAAUAUUAACAAAGAGACACAAAAUGAGGCACACAAAAUGAGACAGCAGUGAAGCCUCCUAUAAUACCACCUAAUAGAGUUACAGUGACCUUAAAAUUUUAUCAAAUGUCUGUCAUUGAAUUAACUUAAAGUACAAACCAAUGACCAGUCCAAGCUAUACACCUCUUUGUUUUCAAAGUUUUCACGCACUCACACACUCACAUGUAUAUCCUAUCUUAUACCAAAUUCAUGCGGAUUUUUAUUACAAAUGAUCUUGAAAAUUGAUAAACCAAUUCAAGAUGAUCAUUGAAAUUAAAAAUUGAUCAAUAUAAUCAUUAAAUAUGAAUGCCAUAAAUCAACAUCAUCCAUAUUUAAAGACUACACUAAAUUCAAGCACCCAUGUUUAAAAAUUACAUUACUUAAUUUUCGAUUCAAUUAACAACCAUCUUAAUUAGGUGUGUCGAGACAUCUUGCAAUAAAAAACCAACUCAUAUUGUUUCUUAUUCACUCUCAUGCACUUGCAUUAUCUUGAGGGACAAGGAUUGUCUGCCCUUCAUUUCCGGUGCUCUCUCCGUGCCCACCUGUUUGUGUGAUCACGGUUAAGCCACGUCAACAUUUUAUAUUACUAUUUAUUUUUGUCUUAUUAUAUCUAUAAAAAAAAAUAAUAUAAAAUAUUAACAUACGUGACCACACAAAACAGGAGCGUACGGAGAGCGCACCGGAAGUGGAGGGCAAACAAUCCUUGCCCUAUAUUGAGUCCCUACAUGGCCUGCACGUGUCCCUAGCGACAUCAAUGAAAUAAGGUGAGUGAGCCUAGGGCAGUUGAAGUAAUUAAGGUACUAGUCGACAAUGCAGGUGGAGAGUUACUUAUGGACCCAUCAACUUUCAGUACAUGGUACAUUUUCCUCUAUAAAUGUGGAAUCUAUUUGCUCUUGCUAACACAUUCAGUAGCUCUGAGUUUCUUUCUUCAUCCAUUAGCAUUCUGUUCCAAUAUUUUCAGUCUCAAUGGGGUUCUGUCUUCCUCACAUCCUUGCUUUUCUAACUGUAAGCUUUCUAAUUUUGAAAUAUUACUUUUUGAUUUCAGUUGAUUUGUGUUUGCGUCCGUGAUGGUGCUGAUGAGGGUUCAAAUAUUGUUAAUUUGCAGCUCACACUGGUGGCAUGCCAUGCUGCUCUACCACCUCAACUUUACUGGAACUCUGUCUUGCCAAACUCAAAAAUGCCAAAAGCUAUCAGUGAACUUCUCCAGCCUGCAGGUUAGUAUUAGAGUCUCAGAGAAGCUCAGAUAUUGUGUAUUCCUUAGACAAUAAUUCUAUUUAGACAUACACAAUUAAGAUCACUACUGACACACUCUCUAAUACAGGCGAGUCUAACCAUCGUAUAUAUGUAAAAUGUACAUGUAUUAGAGAGUACAUGUCAAGAAAUGCGUUAUAUAUUCUCUAAAAGUGAUAUAAUCCAUUUGUAAUAGCAACAAUUUAGUAUUAUAAAAGUUGAAGGGAUGGAAUAGCUUAAAUGUUCUCAUUGAUCAAAAUUGGAUUGUGGUCUUGGUAUGUAUAUACACUUAUUUUCUUACAUGUAUGUCACUAAAAGCCACAAUAUAAUAAGUCAAUUUCAAAACAAUCGGUCAACUUUUUAUAAACUUUGCUCCUAGUAUAGUUGACUGAAAUUUCUAAAGCCAUGUCGUUCGUUGAUGCGUUCCUGAUACCUUCAAUAAAUUGACUUCACAAUUGUGCAAAUGUGCCGAUAAACUUUAUGACACUUUUAGCUAUACAAUCUUAUGUUGUUAGAAAAUAUAAUUUGACUUCACAAUUAUGAAUGUGCUGAUAAAUUUGACUUCACUUUUAGUUUUAGAUAUAUGACCUCAACGGCGAAUUCCCAUAUUUUCUAUAUAUGAUCCGAAUAUUCUCACAAAUUUUAGCUUAACAAUUUUGAUGUUCUACCUCUUCUCACCUGUUCUCCAUUAUGUUUGCUAAAAUUUGCAGAUUUCACAGAGGAUAAGAGCACCUCUGUUGUAGUAGGAAAGGGUGGUGUCAACGUUGAUGCAGGAAAAGGAAAGCCCGGAGGCACCCAUGUCGAUGUUGGGAAGGGUACUGGAGUGCAUGUGGAAGCCGGAAAAGGAAAGCCAGGCGGUGGCACUAACGUGAACGUAGGAGGCAAAGGCGGUACUGGGGUGAACACCGGGAAGGGAACCAACGUUGGUGUUGGCAAAGGAGGAGUGUCCGUAAACACAGGGCACAAGGGAAAGCCCGUGUAUGUUGGAGUAAAACCAGGACCAGACCCUUUUAACUACCAGUAUGCAGCCACCGAAACCCAACUCCAUCAAGACCCAAACGUUGCUAUUUUCUUCUUGGAGAAAGACAUGCGUCCUGGAACAACAAUGAACUUGCACUUCACCACAAAUUCAAACACGCAAACUUUUGUGCCGCGCGAAACUGCGGAAUCCAUCCCAUUUUCGUCCAACAAGCUGCCAGAAAUCUUCAACCAAUUUUCAGUGAAAUCGGGUUCCGUGGAAGCGGAUAUAAUCAAGGGUACAAUUCAAGAGUGUGAGAAUCCAGCCAUUAGAGGAGAGGAGAAAUAUUGUGCUACCUCUUUGGAGUCCAUGAUUGACUUUAGCACUUCUAAGCUUGGAGGAGGAAAUGUUCGAGCAAUUUCGACAGAAGCCGGAAAAGGAGCUACAUUGCAGAAGUACACAAUAACUUCUGGAGUGAAGAAGUUGGCGGCGGAUAAGUCGGUCGUGUGUCACAAGCAGAACUAUCCCUAUGCUGUCUUUUACUGCCAUGCAACAAAAACAACAAGAGCUUAUGUGGUGCCCCUGAAAGGUG